UACGUAGGGUGCAAGCGUUGUCCGGAAUUAUUGGGCGUAAAGGGCUCGUAGGCGGUCCAUCGCGUCGGGAGUGAAAAGCUGGGGCUUAACCCCAGUCCUGCUUCCGAUACGGGUGGACUAGAGUGUGGUAGGGGAGACUGGAAUUCCUGGUGUAGCGGUGAAAUGCGCAGAUAUCAGGAGGAACACCGAUGGCGAAGGCAGGUCUCUGGGCCAUAACUGACGCUGAGAAGCGAAAGCAUGGGGAGCGAACAGG
rnacentral:rRNA from 1 species